UCUCUAAAAGAAAUUUACAGCUGCAUGUAGCCCAUGUUUGGAGCUUUCAUUUGCAUGGUCAAUCUUCAAAAAGUUACCAAAAUAAGAACUAAAUCUAACAAAGAAAUCCAUUUUUUUCCUUAUUUUUAAUCACUCAGAUAGUAGCAAGUACAAAAGAAAGGUACUGAUGAUGACAAUGAAGAAGAUGGAGAAGGUGAUUUGCUUGAAGUAUUUGACUGCGGUGAUAUACAUCGCUCUUCUACCUAAAGUUAAUAGCCAAAAUGGUGUAACUACAGAUAUUAUCAGACCUGAUGAUACUGAAUAUGUUACAUGAUGUUUUUGUCAUUGAUACAAAGAAUGAAAUCAUUGUUUGGAUUGGUCUUGAUUCUUCAACUACAGAAAAGAAUAACGCCAUGACCUAUGCUCAUGAUUACCUGAUGAACAAACCCAACAGCCAGCUGCCAGUCAUCCGCCUGCUGGAAGGUAAAGAUAACUGCAAGCUAAUAUUAGCUAUUGCUGCCUAAAUCAACACAGAUUGAUCCAUAUCCUGUCAAUAUGGAAAGAACCUUUUCUAUUUUUUAUUAUUUUCAGUAUUUUACAUAUUAUACCCACCCCCAACCUUUCUUUUACCCUUUUAAAAUUCACAAUUUUAUAUAGUACCCCAGAACACUAACAUCAGAAAUGCCUUCUUUUAUAUAUAACCAGCAUUGUGUGCUUCUUGUUACUGCUAACCACUUUACUCUAGCAUCAGAUGUAUUUCCAGCUAGAUUUACUGGGACCAGCAACAAGCUGAACUUAGAGAUUCAGCAUAAUGCCCCAAGAAAUGUCAGAGCAACUGUAUUUACAUUUGCAUGUCCUCUUUUAAUACCAACUGCUCAGCCAUGCAGUGAGAAUAAAUGUAAGCUAAAUUUUCAGAUAGAGACCCCCAGACAGAACAUUCACACACACAUAUAUAUACUGCUCCAUUAAUAGUAGAAUCAUUAUUUUAAAAAAUAGUUCACCAUGAAGCCGUUUACUCAACAUAGGGAAAUUGAACACCUAUUUUGUAUAUCUCUAUCUACUUCUGAAGAGAUUCAGCUUUCACGUAAUUUUUAAUUUAAUUGAUUAAUUUUCUGAUGGUCUGAACUGAAACAGCUGUUAGUGAUGUUUGUCAAUUUUUUA
rnacentral:misc_RNA from 1 species